rnacentral:rRNA from 1 species
AAUUCGCCCUUAGAGUUUGAUCCUGGCUCAGAAUGAACGCUGGCGGCGUGCUUAACACAUGCAAGUCGAACGGUAACAGGAGGGAGCUUGCUCCCUUGCUGACGAGUGGCGCACGGGUGAGUAAUAUAUAGGUAAUGUGCCCCUUGGAGAGGGAUAGCCACUGGAAACGGUGAUUAAUACCUCAUACUCCUUCUUAACAUAAGUUAAGUUGGGAAAUGAAUUUCGCCAAGGGAUCGGCCUAUAUCCUAUCAGCUAGUUGGUGAGGUAAGAGCUCACCAAGGCGAUGACGGGUAGCGGGUUUGAGAGGAUGAUCCGCCACACUGGUACUGAGACACGGACCAGACUCCUACGGGAGGCAGCAGUGAGGAAUAUUGCACAAUGGGGGAAACCCUGAUGCAGCAACGCCGCGUGGAGGAUGACGCAUUUCGGUGUGUAAACUCCUUUUA